ensembl:processed_transcript Gm11762 predicted gene 11762
AACCCCUCCUAGCCCAUUCCUCGCGCCCCUGGACUUUGGAGGAGGGGUCCCAGAGGUGGGCAGUGACUUCGCAUCUACAGGGGUUCGCACCUAUUAACCCUUUUCCUACAGACACCUUACCCAGCCACCUGCACACCCAUACCUCCUUUUUUCUGGAUAGCAGCACUGCCGGCUGGGAUUCCAGUCCAGGUUUCAAUGUCUCUGGGGACUCUGGACAAGGGUCUGGGCUGCAGCCCCACGUCGGAGUCAGAAUCGGACCUGGGAACUCGCCCAAGAUCCAAUUAUGUUGAAAAGAAAACGAAGGCGAGGAGAACCCACAUCGGGUUUUAAAUGACUGGAAAAGCCCAGCUACAGGCUGGCCGGGUUCUCCCCAUAGACCGCCCUCCAUCCCUUCCAGUCAAGCGUUCGGUUGCCUCACACCUUUUACGGGUCUGCGAUGGACCAGACUGGGUCCGGACUGUGAGGCGCCAGUCCGGGACCCACUGGCAGCCUUCGGACAGAGGAUGCCACUCCCCGGUGGGCAUCACCAGUGGUGAAGGUAGAAGCCAGAUUGGCAGGGAAGCCACUAUCCAGGUCUUCUCCGACGCCUCCUCCCAGCCCCGAGCCCCAGGGGCGCCCCACUGCCUGUGUUUCUCGUCUCGGCAUUUAACCAUCCCGAGUCCGUGCUGCGAGCUGCCUUGGCCCCUGCACGCCAGGAGCGUCGCUGGGCCGCCGCUUCCGGGCGCCAGAGGGACCCCGCAGCCAGGACGCGGCUGUGGUGCAGAGAGGGAGUGCGGGGCUCCCGCUCCCGCGGGUCCACCGUCAGGUACAGAGCGCAGGAACGCAGCGGCUCGCAUCUGGGUGCCCCCUAGGCUCCCCUGGGGUCCCAGGACUAGCCUCCCGCCGUUCUGCGUGGGACGUGCACCUGCAGAACUAGGAAUUACCCCCUCCGGGGCGCUGCGCUGCUGGGCGACGUCUGCCCCCAACUCCCAACCUAGCGCGGACGGACGCGGGGACCCCGCGCAGACCUAGCGCUUCGGCCCCGGCGGCGCCUCCCCCCACGCGUCUAACGCGAAGCAGUUCCCGGCCUGGCCCUGCGGCGAGGCUAUCCCCGCUCAGAGUGCGUGGGCGCAGGAGACCAGCCUGUCCCUUCCCCGGCAGAUCCCAGCUUGUUCUUCAAGACCUCAUCAGCAGAAGCCGGCCAGGGAAGCAGGUCCUCCUAAUAGAGACGGUUCUCCCUGCUCUACACAGACUGAGGCCUCCUAGGAGGACUUCUGGCCAUCCAGGUCCAUCUUUCUGAGAGAGGGAGCCUCCACAGGGCUGGAAGGGGAUGCAGGUUCUAGGUUAUUGAUCCUGAAGACUGAACUUGUGGAGUAAGAGAGGAGUGAGGGGACCAGGUUUAUGGAGAACAGACAGGAGCAGGCCAAGGAAGAGAUGGCCAGGGUCUCUGAAUUCAGACUGUGUCAUAGUUACCCUUCUGUUGCUGUGAAGAGACAUGUGACCGAUGGAGCAUGUACGGAGGCUCUCAUCAUCGGAUGGGGUGAGGAAAACAAAAGAAAUCCAAAGUCAGAAAAUGACAGGAAAUGAGGAUAUUGAAAACUGACACUACUAUAUCUACAUUUGGUUUAGGUUUUUUUUUUUUUUUUGAAGUUGUAUGUAAGAGAAAAAAAAUCAUGAAAUGCUUUCAUUUCUCUGUGAUUGAGCAAACUCGUAAAAUAUUAAAGUAUUGAUUAAUAAUU